GCGCUGGACCUGCGGGGGCUGGCGGCGACGCUGCUGGUCGCCGGGCUGGGCGGCUGGAUCGGCCAGCGGUUCCGCAUCCCCUCCGGCGCGC
rnacentral:tRNA from 1 species